rnacentral:misc_RNA from 1 species
UUUUUUUUUUUUUUGGUCUUUAUGGUUAUGAUGUUGAACAGUAGAACUGAUCAUGCACUAUUUGUGUUACUUUGUCCAGGACAAUUCUUUUAUCUAAUCUAGUCUUUUGUAUGUGAUUUCCAAUAUGUUCUGUAUUAAAAGAUGAUCCUGGAUAAGGUGUCUUGUGUUCUUGCACACUUUUCUUUAGCAUUAUCUAAACCAGCAAAAAUUUAUGCAUGCUUAUGAUGUCUAUAAAAGCUUAUGCCUACUCAUGAUGUCUGAAAUGCACAAAUUCUGCAAUGCAUUUUACCUUUAAUACUUCGAAUGCUUACAGCUGGCUGUUUUAGAACAACUUCCAAUGCAUUAAUCCAAUUGAUAAAUGCAUGAUAUGAAAUGAGAACUCCAUGGUAGCCCCCAUUCUGUACUUUAGUCUUGUGUUUUUAAUGCUAUUGUUUUGA